rnacentral:rRNA from 1 species
AUUGAACGCUGGCGGCAUGCCUUACACAUGCAAGUCGAACGGCAGCACGGGAGCAAUCCUGGUGGCGAGUGGCGAACGGGUGAGUAAUAUAUCGGAACGUGCCCGAUCGUGGGGAUAACGUAGCGAAAGCUACGCUAAUACCGCAUACGAUCUACGGAUGAAAGCGGGGGAUCGCAAGACCUCGCGCGAUUGGAGCGGCCGAUAUCAGAUUAGGUAGUUGGUGAGGUAAAGGCUCACCAAGCCGACGAUCUGUAGCUGGUCUGAGAGGACGACCAGCCACACUGGGACUGAGACACGGCCCAGACUCCUACGGGAGGCAGCAGUGGGGAAUUUUGGACAAUGGGCGCAAGCCUGAUCCAGCAAUGCCGCGUGCAGGAUGAAGGCCUCGGUUGUAACGU